rnacentral:rRNA from 1 species
UACGUAGGGUGCAAGCGUUAAUCGGAAUUACUGGGCGUAAAGCGUGCGCAGGCGGUUUGUAAGUCUGUCGUGAAAUCCCCGGGCUCAACCUGGGAAUUGCGAUGGAGACUGCAAGGCUAGAAUCUGGCAGAGGGGGGUAGAAUUCCACGUGUAGCAGUGAAAUGCGUAGAGAUGUGGAGGAACACCGAUGGCGAAGGCAGCCCCCUGGGUCAAGAUUGACGCUCAUGCACGAA